rnacentral:rRNA from 1 species
ACCGCGGUUAUACAAAUAAUACAAGUAAAAUUUAUUAGUAAUAGUUAAUUUGUUUUAAUAAAAUUUAAUUUAGAUUUUUUAAGUGAAAUUUUAAAUUUAAUUAAUUUUAUAUUUAUUUUAAAUGAAGCUAGAAAUUUUUAAUUAUAAACUAGGAUUAGAUACCCUAUUAUUUAAAGAGUAAUUGUUAAUACUUGAGUAGUAAUAGUUAUGAUCUUCAAACUUAAAGAAUUUGGCGGUGUUUUAGUCUAUUUAGAGGAAUCUGUUCUGUAAUCGAUAAUCCACGUUGGACCUUACUAAAAUUUGUAUUUAAUUUGUAUAUCGCCGUUAUCAGAAUAUCUUAAAAGAGAAAUAAUUUUCUUAAUUUAUAAAUAUAAUUGAUGUCAGGUCAAGGUGCAGUUUAUGUUUUAGUAGAAAUGGAUUACAAUAAAUUUAUUUAUACAGUAAAUUAUUUGAAAUAAUAAUUUUAAGGUGGAUUUAAAAGUAAAAUAAUAGAUAUUAUUUAUUUGAUUAUAGCUCUAAAACAUGCACAC